UUCUCUCCUCCAGAAAAAUAAUUAGGAUUAUUAUAUUAUUAUUUGUUUUGUUUCCUCGAAUAAAAAAGAGAAUCCGAGAACUUUUUAAGACAAAAGCCAAGUCUUCGAAACCUUAUGAGAUGUGAUAGGGUUACAAGGGUAAAACAGGAACUCAGAAUAAAAAUAAGUUAAUCGAGAAAGCUCCAAAUAAACACCACUCGUCCGCCUCUCUGUCUCUCACCAAAAUAAAAAACUCAAUCUCUCUCUCUCUCUCUCCAUCGAGAAACACUAAACUGCUAUAAUCAUUACCUCUCUUCGAUUUCUCAAACCCUAUCUGGCUCUCUACCCAUAUGCUUCAGAUCCGCAUUAAAAAAGCUAAGUUUUUUGUUAUGUCCUUCUUUCUUAUUUGAUCAGUUUGUUCUUGUUUCACGAUUUUAACCUGAGAUUUUUUAUAUAUUUUCUCCAGAUCUGCUAUCCGCAGUCAUCUGUUCAUAGGAAAAGAUCUGGCUUUACUUUUAGAGAUUAUCUCAGAUCCAGCCUUUUACCCAAUUGAAGUGUGCAAAAGUAAGUACCCCCCCACCUCUGUUCCUCACGGUUUUUCUGCAAAGGACCCACCCUCCUUGAACUUCAGCGUCCAUCACAAUGUCCCCAUCAUCAUCAAACCUGUACAAGCCAGUGGCGAUCCUAACAUUGUAGAAGUUGAUAGCAUUUUUGCAAGUGGAGGGAGCACUUGUGUUUCUCCACGUAUUGCUGUCUUGAUUAAAGCGGUUGUCAACUCUGUAAAGUCCCUCUACUUCAAUAGGUAGGUCCAUAUGCUGAAGAUUUAUCGCAGGAGCGACCACUACGGGAGCCGCCAUUGGAGAUUCUCUGUGAGAGAGAGAGAGAGAAAUAGUUUGAGAAUCAAUCUUCUGUAUUUUAUUGUGUAGAUCAAGUUAUUUAGUAUAUGCUAGUACUUAUGGUUAAAAUAGACUAUUAUUAAAAUUCAAAAGUAAUAAAGCCAACGAGUACACUAAACUCAGAUUAUAUUUUCCAAAACUAUUGCUAAAGAAUAUCAAUACGUACACUAGAUAUAGAAAUCGGAAUUAGGUACGUUGUGAUCCAUUUCAGCUACUGUUAGGGGUAAGAUUUGGGCUUGCUUGGCCCAAGGCCCAAAUCCAAGUCAAAGGCCUAAGCAGAAUGUUAAGUCAAGAGGGUAGGCUCGUCAAAAUCCUGGAGGAGUGUCCUACACGCAGAAGGCUAUAAAUACGGAAUAGCAUGUCUUGUCAAAGGGGGAUUCCGCCGGACACGCAGAGACACAGAGCAGCUCGUCAGCUCACCCGUCCGAAGUAUCCCGCCAGCCGGUCCGUCUCAAGCAGCUCGUCAGCUCACCCGUC
rnacentral:sRNA from 1 species